rnacentral:tmRNA from 1 species
GGGGGCGAUUGGAUUCGACUGGGUUGCCAAUACGUUGAGGUGGCGUGCCGUGGUUGAUCAGCAGGCCACGUAAAAAGCUGAUCACAACAAUAAUUGCUGAAAAGCAGUUUGCUAUGGUUGCGUAAAGCAGCUCCGGCCUAGGAAUCCCCGUCUGAGGAGCCCGACAGCCGGUCACAAAAUCGGACUGGUCCCAGGUCACUGCCUGCCACGCCUGGGAUAAGACAAGUUGCAGGCUGGUUGCAAUCGGGCUUUGUCUUUUCGAGCCUGCUUGCGACGAGACACAAUCGGAGGACUACGCACGUAGAGGCCGAAACUGAGGGACCACAGGACGCGGGUUCGAUUCCCGCCGCCUCCACUG